UACGUAGGGUGCGAGCGUUAAUCGGAAUUACUGGGCGUAAAGCGUGCGCAGGCGGUGAGCUGUGUCCGAUGUGAAAGCCCCGGGCUUAACCUGGGAAUGGCAUUGGAAACUGGCUCGCUGGAGUGUGGCAGAGGGGGGUGGAAUUCCUGGUGUAGCGGUGGAAUGCGCAGAUAUCAGGAGGAACACCGGUGGCGAAGGCGGGUCUCUGGGCCGUUACUGACGCUGAGGAGCGAAAGCGUGGGGAGCGAACAGG
rnacentral:rRNA from 1 species